rnacentral:misc_RNA from 1 species
CCUUUUUUUUUUUUUUUUUCGUGUCUUCCAUUAUGGAUUCUCCAAUGCCAGAAAUGGUAUUCUCAUUUAAUUUGGGUUCUCCAUUAGCAUGCUUAGGGUUAUUUUGCUUGUAGGAUAGGAUUUGUAUGUUUGACUAUCAAUGAAAAUUGCCUUGAGCAAUUUAUCUUUGAUGUGAUUGGUUCAGUUUGAUAGCCUCAAAAAUUCAUGCUGCUUGUACUAUGCUUUUCCAUGGGCAGGAAAUUAUUCAGGAGCAGAUC